rnacentral:tRNA from 1 species
UCCCAAGUAGUUCAGAUGGUAAAGCAUCUGCCUGAAAUGUGAGAGACCCAGGUUCGAUCCCUGGGUUGGGAA